CCCUUAGAUGUUCUGGGCCGCACGCGUGCUACACUGAGUGGAUCAGCGGGUCAGGUUGCGCGAAAGUGUUUCCUAAUCUUUAAAUCCGCACGUGAUGGGGAUUGACGGUUGCAAUUUUCCGUCAUGAACGAGGAAUACCUUGUAAGCGCGGGUCAUCAUCCCGCGCUGAAUACGUCCCUGCCCUUUGUACACACCGCCCGUCGCUCCUACCGAUUGAGUGGUCCGGUGAGGCUUUGGGAUCUGAGCGGAAAGAGCGUUUCGCUGUUUCUGCCCGGAAAACUCAGUCGAACCUUAUCAUUUAGAGGAAGGAGAAGUCGUAACA
rnacentral:rRNA from 1 species